UGCACUUUCUUCCUUACUGCAAGAAACUGAGCUUACACCUGAGCAGCGCCUCAUGGUUGAGACAAUCCUUAAGAGUAGUAACCUCUUGGCUACUCUAAUAAAUGAUGUAUUAGACCUUUCAAGGCUUGAAGAUGGCAGCCUUCAACUUGACCUAGGAACUUUUAAUCUUCACGCUGUAUUCUGGGAGGUUCUUAACUUGAUCAAGCCUAUUGCAUCUGUUAAAAAGUUGCCUGUUACUUUAAAUUUAGCUCCAGAUUUGCCAGAAUAUGCCAUUGGUGAUGAGAAACGUCUUAUGCAAACCAUUUUAAAUGUUGUUGGUAAUGCUGUGAAGUUCUCUAAAGAAGGCAACAUCUCAAUAACUGCUUUUGUUGCUAGACCAGAAUCAUUAAGAGAUCUUCGGUUUCCUGAUUUUUUCCCAGUGCCAAGUGAUAGUCACUUUUAUUUGUGUGUACAGGUAAAAGAUGAGGGACUAGGAAUAAACCCCCAAGAUAUUUCUAAGUUGUUUACUAAAUUUGCACAAAGUCAAUCUUCGGCAACUGGAAAUUCCAGUGGCAGUGGACUUGGCCUUGCAAUUUGU
rnacentral:misc_RNA from 1 species